AAAGGGGAGCAAUCCCUGAGUAGAGUGGCAAACGGGUGAGUAACACGUGGGUGACCUGCCUUCGAGUGGGGGAUAACGUCCCGAAAGGGACGCUAAUACCGCAUGACAUCCUGCUUUUGGAAAAGCGGAGAUCAAAGCUGGGGAUCGCAAGACCUGGCGCUUGAAGAGGGGCCCGCGCCUGAUUAGCUAGUUGGUGAGGUAAUGGCUCACCAAGGCUACGAUCAGUAUCCGGCCUGAGAGGGCGGACGGACACACUGGGACUGAGACACGGCCCAGACUCCUACGGGAGGCAGCAGUGGGGAAUUGUUCGCAAUGGGCGCAAGCCUGACGACGCAACGCCGCGUGGAGGAUGAAGAUCUUCGGGUCGUAAACUCCUGUCGAGCGGGAAGAACAGCCUCGGGGUGAAUAUCCCUGGAGCCUGACGGUACCGCUAAAGGAAGCCCCGGCUAACUCCGUGCCAGCAGCCGCGGUAAUACGGGGGGGGCAAGCGUUGUUCGGAAUUACUGGGCGUAAAGGGCUCGUAGGCGGCCAACUAAGUCAGACGUGAAAUCCCCAGGCUCAACCUGGGAACUGCGUCUGAUACUGGAUGGCUUGAAUUCGGGAGAGGGAUGCAGAAUUCCAGGUGUAGCGGUGAAAUGCGUAGAUAUCUGGAGGAAUACCGGUGGCGAAGGCGGCAUCCUGGACCGACAUUGACGCUNAGGAGCGAAAGCUAGGGGAGCAAACGGGAUUAGAUACCCCGGUAGUCCUAGCCCUAAACGAUGAAUGCUUGGUGUAACGGGUAUCGAU
rnacentral:rRNA from 1 species